rnacentral:lncRNA from 1 species
UAGCUUCGCUCGACUAAUUUCAAGCAUCGAGAGUCAAUCACAUCUCUUUAUCUAAAGGCUUCGACUUUCUUGUGAUCGUAAUCCCCCAUUGUCACUCAAUCUUCCUCCUGUGGUCGUCUUAAAGAUCUCAGAGCUUGCUUGAGUGCGUAUACUACCGUAAGAAGCAUACAUUUGCAGCCAUUUCCAUGGCUUUUUCUCCUCUUUGAUCAAACUCACCUCGGAAGUAGCCAUCUCUGCACAGGGUAUAUAGACGACUGUUCUUCUUCUUCGCGAGAUAAAAGAACCAAUUCCUCUCUCUCCCAUAAGUGCACUGCUCUUUUCUUUGGUUUAUAGGACACCCAAGCUUAGCAAGCAUCUAGAUUUGUGGGCAUCAGGCAUCCACUUUGCCUCUUCUCCGGCACCUAAAGUCAGCAGCUGUAGAUCGGCCAAACCAAUACAUUAGACGGCACAAAACACUAAAUCUAGUGCUCUGAAAAAAGAGAAAGGAGGACAAAAAAAGUUGUCCCCCCCUCUUAGUUUAUUUAAGAUAGUGGAGUUUCAUAGGACCAAAAUCUUUUCUUUUCUUCACAGACCAACAGAUUUUAGAGGGCCUCAAAGACACAUCUUAUAAGGCUGGUCUAUCGGCAUGGCGUCCACAAAAACCAUGUGCAGUAUCUUGGACUUUUGGAGAGACCUUUUGAUGUCUGUUUCUGAUUGGAUAAUAUUCCAUUGUUCCUGCUAAAGAUUAAUCCCACUUGAGAAGAUGGGCAAGUAAGUAAUAGAUGCCAAGCAACACAAGAGGUAGGAUUAAACUAGAUUUAAGGCACAUAUAUUGGGAAGAAGUUGUGAUUCACAUUACGAGGACAUCAGAUCUACAAGUCCUUUCUGUGCCCAAUCCAUGAGAUGAUGGAAAGAUGGACAUGGCUAACGAUAGAUGACCUCAGUACUGUCUUCUAAGUAAAAAAGCUUCAGCAUCGCCACUCUGCCCAAGAUUUACUCAUGCACAUCUAUAGAUACUAUCAGUGUUCGAGGAUAUGGUAAGCACUUCGAUAUUAUCAGUCUAGGCGAUUAGCCAAAGAGUAGAGAGCUUUCCUAGACGCUCUUUCACAUAUUUCUCAACCAGGGAAAGGUUGUCAGCGAAGAAGCACGCAUGCAUGGCACCGACUGCGCUUCUGGACAUGGAACAGAUGCCUUGUCGUCCUUGACGCAUCAUCUUUAACAAAGGUUAGGUAUAAGAUUUACCAUGUUUUGGGUUGAGAGAAGCGGAAAGCGUGACAACACCUAUGUUAGGUGCUAAUAGAAUACAUGCCAUUAAUUGUUCAUGCAUGAUCGUAGGCUUUGGGAACCAUGGCACGCCAAAUAAGGUCUUGGAACUGCAGCAAGAAUACCUGGUGUGUGGAUCAGGGAGAUGACCGAUGAGAUGUGACGCACCUAAGAGUAGUGUUAAUUGGCAGAGCAAGAAGAAGAAGAGGUGGUCCGAGCUCAGCGCACAACGGCUUUUGAGGAAAUAUUUACAUGCACAAAGGGUAGGAACGUCAGAUGAGUAUAGCUUUUACGAGGCAUGCAGAGAAGGGAGCGGAGAGAGAGAGAGGGAGGUGGGAAGCUGAAGCUUUAAAGAUGCAGUCAAUGCGCAAUAAAAAGCAGCGAAGAAAGAGACAAGUAGUGCUUUUGAUGAUGAACUCGCCUCGGUUCUGAUGAUAUAGCCGGUGAAAGGUGGGGGAGGGGAGGACUCGGGGCCAUUUGUUUGGGCUGUCCUGUUCAUUGAUAUCUUCUUCCCCUGUUGCCGUGUCUCUGUGUUCUCUAGAGGGUGGUGUGUGGCUGACGGAAAAGACUGACAGGGGAGCAGAAGGUGUGGGCAUGGGAGGGAGCAUGGUGGGCCUCCUCCUGCCGCUGUGUUAGAGCCAUCCAUCAAUCAGGUAGAUUCCUCCUCUGCACCACUCACCUUCCUCCCACACCGCUCACAGUCUCUAAAUGUUGCUGCUACUUGUGUUCUUGGGUUUAAUCCCUGGUAUGGUUGGCUCAGUUUUCUGCACUUUGUGGUGGGUUUUUGUUAGUUCUUCUACUUGUUCUCUUUUCUACUCUGUCUACUUUACUUUCUCUGUAUUUUGAUCAAAGAUUUGUGCUUCUUUUGCAAGUUUUCCUCAACAGGCUUUCUCUUUCUUUUUGCUUUUGGCUUGUUUUAAGUGAUAACUCUCCAAGGACAUAAACUACAUCCUAUCUGUCUCUCUCUCUCUCUCCUCAGUCCAGCAUUGUCUUCUUCUUCAUCUUCUUCUCACUGCAACAGCUGGCUCUGCAUGGUAGUUCAAUUUCCUUUUAGCCUUCAGUAUCAAGCUCAAACUUUAAUACCUUCAAGUGCAUGCAACCUUGUCUCUCAUGUAAUCGAUUCAUAUGCUUCUUCGUGUGGUUUUUCGCCAACUUGAUAAGAUUCCUUUACCGGAGCAGUUGCUAUCUCUUCCGUAUUAUUAAACAAGGAAAAAGAUGCUUACUGUCUGUGGCAUCACUGCUUCACUUGCCCUCACAUAGAGGUGGUAUCUUUGGUUGUGGCAGGUGAUCUGAUCCUAAAGGCCAGUGGAGUUGGAUUCGAGGAAUGUGGUGGCGGUAGUCGCCGGAUCUUAACGACCCUGCAAGCAAAGCACAGGACAACCAGCAUUUGGCCAAAGAGGAGUAAGGGUGGUGGUGUCUCUCUCCUCCUUAAUUGUUUACUAGCCUACUGAGCUACUUGCUGUCUCCUCUGCCAUGGAGCUGGGAAACAGCAGAGCUUCUCCAUUAGACCGCAUCUUGUGGUGAGUUGCUCAUCCCAAGCGGGAGGGGAAGACAAAUAGCUGUAUAAAUUUGUUCUUCCUCUCGUCCUCUGUUCUGAAACACUCUAAAAUAAGUGUUGCUGUUUGCAGACUUGCAAAAGCUGGAGUAUUCUUCUGUCUUCUGCCUCCUACGGGAAGUCCAUGCUUUAUGUUCCAAGGUUGCCUUUAGUUUUUGAGAGGGUGGCAGAAUUGAUGUAACAUUCUCCGGUUAAGCAGAAGUGUGAAGAAGAGAAGGUGCAUCGAUUAGUUCCACGAUGAAGUUUAUGAAGCUUGGAUCCAAACCUGAUUCCUUUCAGAGUGAUGGGAAAGACAUCAGGUUCUUGGAAUUUCUUAUCAUUACUGCUGUUGUUAUAGAAUUUGAUGUGUCCUAUGCUCUGGUGUUGACAUUUGCUGCAUUAUGCUUGUUUUGACACAGUCUUUAUCCUGCUUUCUCCAUCCUUUCCCUUGAUCCAGUAGGAUUGUUCCUCCAUGAGCAUUUCUUGACCCAAAUCCAAAUCAUCCUUUGUUAUCCAAAAUAGGAUUAGAAUAUGUACUACCUAUUUGUGCUUUCCCCUAAUUGUGUGUUGUUUGAUUUGAAAUAGCUACCAGGGGUUCGAUAAAAUGCUUAUUGUGCCCUUUUCUCAUUGAGUACACAACAACAUGCACUAAGAAAUAUGAUUUCUGCACCAUUUUCUCUUGCGAUUGAUAUCAAACUAAGAGCAUAAUCAAUUAACAUCACUACUGUUAUAAGCACUAAAUAAAAAGAAUGCUUCAUAUACAGAAGUUGGGUCCGCCAGAUAUAAAUUUACAGACUACAUAUAUCUUUGCCGAUAAAUUUGGGUCUUAUUCAAGUGACCGUAGAUUGUUCAAUCCAUUGCUUAGACCCCUUUUCAUUUAUAUUUAGCAGCUAUAAUGAUACUUCCUAUCAAGGUAUACAAUUUCGAAUAAUACCGCAUGGUACGGAUGGUAUGUACCGGUACACGGAUCACCCGUUAUCGGACGGAACGAUAUAUAUAUGUAUAUAUAUAUGUACAUAUAUAUAUACAUAUAUAUAUACAUAUAUAUAUAUAUAUAUAUAUAUAUAUAUAUGAGGCGAUGUCGCCCUCGCGUGGGAGAAGGAAAAGGCGACGUCGCCGAAUUAUAUAUAUAUGUAUGUAUAUAUAUAUAUAUGUAUGUAUGUAUAUGUAUAUGUAUAUAACAAGCAGUAUAUCGAAUGGUAUACCGUUCGGUAUAUAGUAUCGUACCGUGUCGAGCGAACAUUGAAACUCCGGUACGGUACGAAAUUUGCGAACCUUGCUUCCUAUUGCACUAAGAAAAAUGUGAUUAUGCUUGUGCCUUUGAUUCUCUAAUUCAGAAUAUAUGUGCAGGUUCGUGGCCACUGACUUAGCAGCUGACAUCAUUAUUCGUGUAGGAAAUGUCAAAUUCCAUUUGCACAAGGUAAUAACUCUUUUCCAAAGUCAUAAUAGAUGCAGGACAUUAUCAUGUAUUUGGCACUUGAGAUUUUUACUCUUUAAUAUUUGCUCAACCAUGAUUAGACACUAAACCCUUCAUUGACCUUUUGGGUCCUCGAAGUGUGCAACUACCAGUAUUGUCAUGGACCAUAUGUAUUUCUAACUCAAGUGAUGCCUUAAUUUGAUGUUAAAGCUGUUAUUUGGUAUUAAUACUUGAGAAGUUUUUAAGUUUUCACAAUGUUUACUCAAUUCUUGGAUCGACAAUUUGGUUGUUACUGAUAAAUAUGGGUGCUAGGGAUUUAUUAAAGCUGAAUAGCCUAUCACUCACCUCAAUCAUCAGUUCAUGUAAAAGAACAAAUAAAGGCUCGUGUCCUUUGUAUCCUUACUGUAAUUUUGCUUCUCUAUCAGUGUGGGACGCCAUUGAUGUAAUUAGUUUUACAAUGCUGGAAGGACAAAACCAGAAUUUCACAUAGAAUAUAUAACCACUAAUUAUCCUUAAGCAACUUGCUCUUUCUCAUUAUUCUGCUAGUUUAGUUUCAUUUCUUUGCCUUUUCCAAAUUUUACUAACCUUUCCUUUGCCAAUUGAAAAUGCAGUUUCCCCUGCUGUCCAAGAGUUUUCGCUUGCAGAAGCUGAUAACAAUUACCAACAAUGAAAAGACUGAUGAAAUAUGCAUUUCGGAUAUCCCUGGCGGUGCAGCUGCUUUUGAAAUUUGUGCAAAAUUUUGUUACGGCAUGACUGUGACCCUCAAUGCUCACAAUGUGACUACCGCACGAUGUGCAGCUGAGUACCUACAAAUGCACGAAACAGUCGAAAAAGGGAACCUGAUCUAUAAAAUCGAAGUCUUCCUCAGAACUAGUAUAUUGCGUAGCUGGAAAGAUUCAAUCAUAGUUCUCCAGACUACAAGAUCUCUUUUACCAUGGUCUGAGGACCUGAAGUUGAUUGACCAUUGCAUAGAGUCUAUAGCUUCCAAGGCCUCAACCGAUUCUUCUAAAGUGGAAUGGUCAUACACGGACAACAGGAAGAAGCUUCCUUCUGAAAAUUGUUUGGAAACACAUUGGAAAGGCAUCAGGAAAGAGAAUUCAGUGCCGAAGGACUGGUGGGUCGAGGACUUAUGUGAACUUGAAAUUGGCUUUUUUAAGAAGAUCAUAAUGGCCAUCAAAGUCAAGGGGAGAGUCUCUUCUGAAGUGAUUGGGGAAGCACUGAAAGCCUAUACUUAUAGGAGGCUCUCAAGUUUGGGCAAAGAAAAGGGAGGUGAUCCCAAUAAAAACCGGUCAUUGCUGGAGACUAUCAUUUUGUUGUUGCCCUCAGAGAAAGGUUCUGUGUCCUGCUGUUUUCUUCUGAAGUUACUAAGAGCUGGUAGUUUACUGGAUUGUGGUGAAUGUAGCAAAAGGGAACUCGUGAAGCGAAUAGGCCGCCAGUUAGAAGAUGCAUCAGUGCCCGGUCUCUUGAUUCCUAGCACCUCAGGAGAAAACACGAUAUAUGAUGUCGACAUGGUUCUCAACAUAGUGGAAGAAUUCAUAAUGCAGGAUAAUAGUGAUGUUCAACUCAGCACAAAUGAGGAGCUUCAUGAGUUAAAUGCCCCAGCUUUGGCCUCAAGGAUUUCAAAGAUCACAGUAGCCAAGCUAGUCGACGAUUAUCUAAUUGAGAUUGCUAAAGACCCUAAUUUACCUCUUUCCAAAUUUAUCGAUCUUGCUGAGAUUCUACCAAGUGAUUCAAGACCUGUACAUGAUGGGCUUUAUCAUGCCAUUGACACUUAUCUCAAGGUACGAUGCAUGAUCCUUUCCUAUUUUGUUACUUUGACUCGAACACUGAUCUAGCUAGCAAAUUUGUCUGCUUGUUCGAUGCAUGACUUUGUUGUUCUCAUUUAUGUAAUGAGCAGGAACAUCCAGGCCUUGGCAAGAGUGAGAAGAAGAAGCUAUGUGGCCUGAUGAACUGCAAGAAGCUCUCAGGGGACGUUUGCGCACAUGCCAUGCAGAACGAGCGGCUCCCAUUGCGGUUGGUGGUGCAGAUCCUGUACUUUGAGCAGAUGAGGGCAUCUGCCGCUACCACCAGCCGAGCUGAGAGUGGCAACUCGUAUGGAAGCUCAAGGUCAGCCAUCACGACCAACACUGAAGACGAAUGUGAUGGCGUGCCGAAUGCAGAAGACGGUAAAGCUCGGAAAUUUACAAAGCUUAGUGAAGGAGGAAAGGGAUGCGAAUGGAGCAGCGGAGGCAACAAUGAAAACAGAAGCAAUGGUCAAGGGAAGAGUGGCAACAGUCAGGUGAAGGGCGUGGUGAUGCCAAAGAAGAUGCUUGGGAAGUUCUUAUUAUCAAGCAAAGGGCAGGCUGGGGGGAGCAGCAGCUCCUCAGACACUUCUGGAAGUCCAAACUCAGCCAAACAAGGGGAGCCUAAGUUGACUCCUUCCAGAAAUAUAAGGUACACAGUUUUAUAGAUGGGAUUCACUACUCGCAACAAGCAUGACUGUUAGCUUAAUGGUUUACUUAGUUCAAUCAACACCCAGUUUUGCAUCUACAAACAGUGUAGAAGCUGGUUUUGAUAAAGCCUGAUAUAAGAAAUAGAAGUCUGGGUCUUUAGCAGGCAAAAAACAAAACAUCAUAUAGGUGUUUGUGAGUUGAUCCCUAGUUUAGGCCCAAUCUUGAACCCAUUAAACCUAACAAAAUCCUUAAUCAUUUAUUUACCUCGAAACUUCUUUCCAAUUAUUCCUAAACUUAGGAAUAAUUUUCAUUUUAUGCAAAUAUAUUCAAUUUAUGGUUAUUAUCCUUAUAUUAGUAAAAACUGAUAGAUAGCUUUGGCUAUGGCCUCACCUAAAUCAUCCUCCAUCCAAACCCAUCUAUCUGAAUCGACUUCAAAUCAGAUUAAAAAUAUUAAAAUCCACCUUAGAUACAUUGGACGGAUCCAAAUAUCUAAAACCUAACCCGAUACCAUCCAUAAUUAAUAGCGCCUAUCCACAAAGCCGUGCUUCCAAAAUUAAGCUACCUUGGAGUAUAUAAUUGGUGCCACAACUAUUACUAAACGUCGAAAGAAACGUUCUUUGUGCAUACUGCUGUAGAAGCAUAUCCUUCCAUUUCAAAGAGAGUUCAUUCACGAAUGACAUGAUUGUACGAUUGGAGUGAGUAGGGAAUCUUAUACGAUUUUGACUACCAUCGUGGAUCUAUACUUGAUAGAAAUGCUCGUGUAUCUAAGUUUAUUGGGUUCGGAUCCUAAAUGGGUUCAAUCCGACGACAGUCCGACAUCCACACCCUAAGAAUCCGGGCAGAAUUGGUUGGUCUGACGGACAACCGCCUAUAAAGCUAUGUAGAGAACAAAAUAAUAAUAACAAAAGCCAACCCAGCGAAGCGAUGCGCAUCAGUAAAAGCGCCCCUCCGCAGGCGAAUCAGCCGCGGAAACACGGAGCCGCCCGCUCAACCCCAAGACUAUGGAGCACCUUCCUCGCCAGUCCCAGGCGGUAACCAGAUCACCCCCUUUCCUCGAGGACCUUAAACUCUAAGGUCGAGUUACGUAACCCGCGGUCACCCUUAUAUAUUCACCCACCAUUCCACACACCCCCCGUCGCCCCCUUAACACCUCUUCUCUCUUUGCCGCUCACGUCUCCAACGCCACCCAAAAAAAUAAAGGGGAAAACCCUAAGAAAUUGCAGAGAAAAGGAAAGGGAAAAAAGGAGAAAAUAGCUAACCUUCGAGUAGAAGAGGAGCGCCGUGAUCGAUCGGGCGGUGGAUGAGAGAUCGGCAGAGAUGAGCUGCAACGGAUGCAGAGUUUUACGCAAGGGCUGCAGCGACUCCUGCUUUCU